rnacentral:lncRNA from 1 species
UCCUUCUUUCUGUUUAGUUUACUUUAUUUUUCUUGGUGGCACUAGGGAUUGAACCAAGGGUCUUCCAACUGAGCUAUAUCUCUAGCCCUUUUUAUUUUUUAUUUUGAGACAGGUUCUUGCUAAAUUGCCCAGGCUGGACUUGAACUUGUAAUCCUCCUGCCUCAGCCUUCCAGAGUGCUGGGAUGACAAGAGUAGCUUACCAUGUCCAGAAAGACACCUCCCAAGCGGAGAUGGUCAGCAGACGUGGCUGGAGUCCAGAGCCCUGCUGCAGUUGCAGUCCACUCUCAGUCCAGCGGCCCACAGACACAUGCCACAGCUUCUGCCUCAGCCGCCUGCUGUGCUGCGUCCUUCCGGGGACCCUCACCUCCCCACCUGGCUUUGAAGCCCUAACCGUUCUUUGUGGUUUUCCUCUGCGUCUUCCUCUUUGGUAACGUCACGUGCUUAUCGCCGUAAGCAAGGGGCUGCCCUGCCUUACCGGUGCCCUGGCGGAUCUAUUCCUGUUGAGCCCCGGGGCUUCAUCAUGCAUGUUUUGUGUGCCAGGGGCCGGAGAGUGCGGGUUAGGAUUGGGUUUCAUUUUAUUUCUGUGAUCUGGGUGGGCAACAGUCUUUGUAAACCUCCGUUUCCUUGUUAGUAAAAUGAGGUUGCCGUGGGGAACAGAUAACAGAGGGCCUACUUAGCACCGAAGCAGUGGCAACUGUUCCUUUUGUUUUUUGUUUUUUUGAGACAGGGUCUCGCUGUGUAGCUCAGGCUGGCCUUGGACUCACUAUGAAGCCCAGGUGGGCUUUGAACUUGCACUGAUCUCCUGCCUCAGCCUCCCCAGUGCUGGGAUUACAGGUGUGUACCACCACGCCCCCAUCAGUACAUAUUUGUAGUAGCAACUAUUGUUACUUAACUGCUUUUGACCUUAGUUUCUUUGAUAUCUUUUGUUUUGUUUUGUUUUUUUGGUACCAGGGAUUGAACUCAGGACCUUGCACUUGCCAGGCAGGCACUACUUAUGCCGCUGAGUGGUAUCCCCGGCUUGACCUUAGUUUCUUUAUCUGUAAAAUGAGGGAACUACAGUAUCUUAGUGCUCCUUUGUAGGGUAGUCAUAAAUGGUAGAGAAGGGAUGUCAAGGGCCUGACACAAUCAGCUGGUGUGCAACCAGAGAGGGCAGCACUAGGGGUCCAUCAUGUCUCUUCCCC